UACGAAGGGGGCUAGCGUUGCUCGGAAUUACUGGGCGUAAAGGGCGCGUAGGCGGCACUGUUAGUCAGGCGUGAAAGUCCUGGGCUCAACCUGGGAACUGCGCUUGAUACGGCAGAGCUAGAGGAUGGAAGAGGGUCGCGGAAUUCCCAGUGUAGAGGUGAAAUUCGUAGAUAUUGGGAGGAACACCAGUGGCGAAGGCGGCUCACUGGACCGGUUCUGACGCUGAGGCGCGAAAGCGUGGGGAGCAAACGGG
rnacentral:rRNA from 1 species